rnacentral:rRNA from 1 species
UUUACUGACGCUAAAGCUCGAAGGUGCGGGUAUCGAACAGGAUUAGAUACCCUGGUAGUCCGCACGGUAAACGACGGAUGCCCGCUGUUGGCGAUACAAUGUCAGCGGCCAAGCGAAAGCGUUAAGCAUCCCACCUGGGGAGUACGCCGGCAACGGUGAAACUCAAAGGAAUUGACGGGGGCCCGCACAAGCGGAGGAACAUGUGGUUUAAUUCGAUGAUACGCGAGGAACCUUACCCGGGCUUGAACUGCAGGUGAACGAUCCAGAGAUGGUGAGGUCCUUCGGGACACCUGUGGAGGUGCUGCAUGGUUGUCGUCAGCUCGUGCCGUGAGGUGUCGGCUUAAGUGCCAUAACGAGCGCAACCCUUUUCUCUAGUUGCCAUCAGGUUAAGCUGGGCACUCUGGAGACACUGCCACCGUAAGGUGUGAGGAAGGUGGGGAUGACGUCAAAUCAGCACGGCCCUUACGUCCGGGGCUACACACGUGUUACAAUGGGGAGUACAGCGAGUCGGUCGUAUGCAAAUGCGAUCCAAUCAUGAAAGCUCUCCUCAGUUCGGAUUGGGGUCUGCAACCCGACCCCAUGAAGCUGGAUUCGCUAGUA